UAUCCCUACUCAACUGAGAACAUUAGCCACC
rnacentral:piRNA from 1 species